UACGUAGGGCGCAAGCGUUGUCCGGAAUUAUUGGGCGUAAAGAGCUCGUAGGCGGUUUGUCGCGUCUGCUGUGAAAACCUAAGGCUCAACCUUGGGCUUGCAGUGGGUACGGGCAGACUAGAGUGCGGUAGGGGUGACUGGAAUUCCUGGUGUAGCGGUGGAAUGCGCAGAUAUCAGGAGGAACACCGAUGGCGAAAGGCAGGUCACUGGGCCGCAAC
rnacentral:rRNA from 1 species